rnacentral:rRNA from 1 species
AGAAUCAACGCUGGCGGCGUGCCUAACACAUGCAAGUCGAACGAGAAAGGGGAGCAAUCCCUGAGUAAAGUGGCGCACGGGUGAGUAACACGUGACUAACCUACCCUGGAGUGGGGGGAUAACUGAGGGAAACCUUAGCUAAUACCGCAUAACACCUACGGGUCAAAGGAGCAAUUCGCUUUGGGAGGGGGUCGCGGCCGAUUAGUUAGUUGGCGGGGUAAUGGCCCACCAAGACAGUGAUCGGUAUCCGGCCUGAGAGGGCGCACGGACACACUGGAACUGAAACACGGUCCAGACUCCUACGGGAGGCAGCAGUGGGGAAUUUUGCGCAAUGGGGGAAACCCUGACGCAGCAACGCCGCGUGGAGGAUGAAGUACUUCGGUACGUAAACUCCUUUCGAUCGGGACGAUAAUGACGGUACCGGAAGAAGAAGCCCCGGCUAACUUCGUGCCAGCAGCCGC